GCCCGCUCAGAAACUACAAAGGAAUUGGACGGGACCCGCACAAGCAGCGGAGCGUGUGGUUUAAUUCGAUGCUACACGAAGAACCUUACCAAGGUUUGACAUGUAAGUGGUAGUGAUCUGAAAAGUGAACGACCCUUCGGGGAGCUUACACAGGUGCUGCAUGGCUGUCGUCAGCUCGUGUCGUGAGAUGUUCGGUUAAGUCCGCUAACGAGCGCAACCCUCACUGUGUGUUACAUGUGUCACACGGGACUGCCGGUUUUAAGCCGGAGGAAGGCGAGGAUGACGUCAAGUCAGCAUGGCCUUUAUAUCUUGGGCUACACACACGCUACAAUGGUCUGUACAAUAGGUUGCCAAGCCGCGAGGCGGAGCCAAUCCUUAAAGCAGGCCUCAGUUCAGAUUGCAGGCUGCAACCCGCCUGCAUGAAGAUGGAGUUGCUAGUAACCGCAGGUCAGCUAUACUGCGGUGAAUACGUUCCCGGGUCUU
rnacentral:rRNA from 1 species